GGGGGGAGAGAUGAAUGUAGGCGGCAAGCGGCUAUGGUGGAUCUCUCGGCGCUGCUCCAGGAUCUGGGAGACUGCAUCGCCAGCAAGCUCGACUCGUCAUCCGAGACGCAGCCGGAGAACGAUGAUCCGGUAGAGUCGCGCUUCCGGUCGGUGUUGCCUGUUCUUCUUGACGCGUAUUUUCUUCCCGAGAAAGUGAAAGGACGGGAGAUUUUGGCGAUUUUGAAGCUGGUGCGGCACACUGUGGAUCAUUUUCCCGGUGUUCUCUUCCAUGGCAAAGCUCAUGCUGUUCUUCCUGUUGUUGCGAGGUUGAUUCCACUUCUUGCCGAGCCCGCUGCGAGUGGAUGCUGCGAGUGUUUGUUUGAGACACUGCGUUCUCUCGUUUCAAUUCUUCGCAAGGGAGAAUGGGAGGUCUUCCAGUACUUUUUUAUCGACGCCUUAUUGCUCGUGGAAGAUUUGGCAUCCGUUGGUUCCUUUUUUUCCACUCCAACGAGAGUUACAUCUCCUGCAACUAUAUCGGUGAAUUGCUUCCAGGAAUCUUUUUCCUGUCUACGAGGAAAAAGAGAUGGAGACAGGUUUCUUGCACUUUCGUGCUGGGAAUCCUCGAAUGCCCCUGGGCUUUCGAUUGACGUUACUGGAAAGGCUCGAUGGGAGCCUCUCGCGGUAUACGUUAUUAAGCUUCUCACACAUUUUUUGACCGAGGACUCGUUUCACGUUCGAGGUCUAGUGACACCGUGCUUCAUGUUUGCCAUUGGCACAAUUAUGUGUUAUGGCUCUAGCAAUCUACACAAGGUUUGCUUUGAAAUGUUUGCUGUUGGAACAUCUGAACUCGAUGCUGAUGUUGUUCCCAGUGAAAAGGCGAUUUUGUCAAUCUUGGCCGUGCUGUCUCUACCCAGAAAUGGAGAACUUCCAGCCUUUAGGACAUCGACUUACGAUUCCAGCCUUGGCUCCAGUCUGCUUUCACUUUAUUCUAAGAGCGCACCAGAUGUUGUAAAGUGCACGGCUCAAAAUUUUUUGGAAUUAUUUCCAACUACAAUUAUGACGUCCGCUAGUCGCGACUUGAAGGUCGCGUUCUGCAACAUUUUGUCAAUUAUUCUCAAGCAAUGCCCAAUAUAUUCCAGCUGCGUCCUCUCUUUCACAACGAUGAUUUUUGUUCCCGACAUUAUGUCUCCGUUCAGCUCCUGUCUCCAAAUUGCUAUCAAUGCGGAUGCCGGAAAUGCUGAAAAUGGUUCCAAAAGACGCAAGUUACGUGAAGGUGAAGCUUUGACCUGUGGAGUGGAAAACUCGUUUGAUCAGAUGCAUGAAGUUUUUGGUAGGCUGGAGAUGGAAAAUAAAGGCAGUACAAUGCCUGUCGAAAGUUUACUAGCAGGCUAUUGCGUUCUUGCUCGAUCCUUUUGCCGAGCACCAGGAACAGAUUACCUGCGACUAGUUUUACAACAUUUUUGUGAAUGGCUGAUUUUAUCCAAGUCGAAGGAGCUAAUAACGAAACUUACAAAGUUUCAGCUGUCAAUCAUUCUUGAAGCAGUUGAGGGUCUGAUUUUUCAUCCUGACUCAGAAAUUCCGGAAUUGGUGUUUUGCCGAGUUAAAGAAGUAGUUGGGCGUGUUCUGGAGAUGCCUUGGUUUAGAUUUACGGCUUCUCAAGGAGAUAGUAUUUGGAAGGCAAAACUACACGUGAUGACGAUUCUUUCCAAGAUGAACGAGCCUGAAAGGUUCAAUGCUGAUCAUCUACUUCGUCUUGGAUUGAGAGACGAGGACAUGCGUGUCCGAUCGGCAGCAGUGACGUGCAUUCCGUUGCUGGUCGCCCAUUCGUCUAUGAGCUGGUUAAAGCUCUCUGAACUUCUAAGGGGUAUGGACGAGGACAAUGAGCAAGUUCAAGAAGCGCUAUGCUCAACUAUUGGAAAGCUGUUCUGUGUCGCCGCUGCAAACCUUGUCCCAACGUCAGACAUGCAGCAACUCUCGUGCAAUAUCUGUGACAACGGCAUUGCCUCUGCAAGUGCAGUGCUUAAAGACUUGGAGUAUCCAUAUUGGAAAACCGUUGUACUGAAGCUGCUUCUGACGAAUCGGUCCUAUCGGGUGCAAAGUGCUGUCGUACGAAACCUUUCUCGUCUCCUUGCACACAGUUUUGAAGGAGACGCGAGGGACAUAUGGGUGAAGUGUCUAGAUGUUUUUCCACUGCAUCCUGAUCGUUCCGCGCGGAAAGCAUUUUGCUCUCAACUCAGAGGCUUGCUGACUCAGGAACAUAUAUGGUACUCCACAGUUGGCCACAAGUCCGGGGACUACGAAAUACUUAAGAAGCUGGGAGAUGCCUUGGCUAUAGCGACAGAUCCAGACGUGUUAGAGACUCUUAUGGAAACCGUCGCAGAAGUUGGGAAGGUGGCAAAGGGUGAUGAGCUACGGGUGUCUGCUACUAUCCUUCUUAUAGAACAGCUCGACAAAAGUGAAGUUUCUGCAAGGGCCGUGAGCGUGAGACUCAUAUGCGAGAUAGCAGCUGCUCAGUGGCCAUCCGAUAGUAACAGAUGCGUGGAAAGGAUGGUCGAUAGCUCGAGCGAGAUAUUGUUCGAGUUUUUUUUGAAGAACCUUGUUCUUCGUCCAUUCCUCGUCAAAGAAUUUGCCGAAGCGGUGAUGAAGAUUUCUACGGGCGACUUACUGAGAAAAAUGAUCCCUUACGUGCUUCCGAAGCUUAUACUGGAUCAACAGCACGACGAAAGAGCUCCUCAAACGCUUAAUACUCUAGCGCAUCUGUUACAGACAAGUUUGCCGCUGGUGUUACUCGAAUGGUGCCACAAGGUUUUGUCCGUGCUCUUACUUCGAGCGGACGGAAGGGAGCUGAUGGCUGCAUUGCAUUUCUACGAAGCACAGACGGGAUCAGAUGCUCGUGAGAUAUUUGCAGCUGUCUUGCCUGCGUUACUUGACGAACUAGUUUGGUUUCUUGGGGACACGAGUAACGAUGAAGCCGUUAAAAGGUCUGCAAGAGUUGGUCCCAUGAUUCAAGAAGUUGCCCGUAUUAUAUCCGGAUCCGAUGAUCUACCGAGUUUCUUAAGGCAACAUUUUGUACGCCUCUUGAACAACAUUGAUCGGAAACUCUUACGUUCGGAAGACGUCCAAAUGCAAAAGCAGGCUCUCAGGUGCAUCGAGCGUUUGUUAGAGAUGAUCGGUUCUCAUCUCAGUGCUUUUAUUCCUAAGAUCAUGGCUUUACUCUCUCAGCCGCAAGACUUACAGUAUGAGAGCCUUAGCGUUUGGCUUUCAUUUGUCAAAAGACUCGCUCAAGUUUCCCCAGCAAACCUGAAGACUGUCGCAAGCCAAAUCGUCGUGGCGCUGAUGCCGUGCCUUGAAUCUGAACAGUCAUCAACUAUCGAUGCGGCAGUACAAAUUUUGGAGGAGCUGAUACUCAAGAACAGGAGGUUGCUGGGGGACCAGAUAAAAGAACUGCCGUUACUUCCCAGCCUGGAGCCUUUGGCAGCUGUGAACGCCGUCUUGAACGAAGUGCGUGGAUUCUUAAGUUUACGAGAUCAACUCUUACGAGCAGGCGAAGGUUUGAACCAUGAGAGCCUAUCUUUGAGGCUCGUCACCGCAACUGAGCUGCUCAAGUUACUGUCCAGUAAAAGGAACGAUAUCACUGCACUCGUUCUUCGGGAGACACCGGCGGAUGCAGACGCAGUGAGCAGCCUCGUGACUCGGUUACUGCGUGGUUGCUCGGAGGAAUCACGGACAUCAGCGGGACAGAAAUUCAAGCUGGCCUGUGCCGAGUGCUUGGGUGGUCUCGGUGCUAUUGAUCCCGUCAAGCUACAAAUAAGCCUACGACAUCGUUCGAGCAUGCAGCACACGGAAGAGGAUCUCGUGUUCCAGUUGAUAAACCAGCACUUGACCAGAGUUCUCCGAGCAGCAUCCGAUACCGACGUGCAAGAUGCAGCAGCUUUAGCUAUCCAAGAGCUUCUCAAGCUCACAGGCUGCCAUGAAGCUCGAGGUGUCUCAAGACCACCAUCGAGUUCGAGUAAGCCGACUCAAAAGAGCAAGCUACAGCUUGGGGACAGGUUGUGGAGCAGGUUCUCCGAUGCCGUCAAAGAGAUCAUCAGUCCUUGCUUAACGUCGAAGUACCUGCUCAAAGUUUCUGGAGCUCCGAUGCCUUCCGGGCCCAUUUUUCGUCAAGGGAUACUGUUCAGGAGGUGGAUGUAUCUGUGGUGUCGAAGGCUGCUCUCGCAAGUAACCGGUCAGAUGGCAUCGAUUCUCGGUGCUUGUAGAGGUGUGGUAAGACACGACAUGGAUGCGGCACUAUAUAUACUCCCGUAUCUCAUACUGGACAUAGUCUGCCACGGGUCUCAGGAGGCGCGCACAGGCGUUACGGACGAAAUUCUAGCGGUCUUGGCUGAAGCUGGCACUGGAAACGACGGGCAGCCGGGGCAGCCAGUUUAUCUUAACAAUGCAUUCUGCGGGUCGGGUGGCGAAGUUAGCAUGCAGACCGUUUUUAUGCUGCUAGAUAAUCUGGGACAGUGGGUGGACGACUCCAAAGCGCUAACAAGCAAGGGAUCACGCUCGACACAAGCGAAGGAACUGUCCGCAAAGCUUUUAGUGCAGUGCGAGCAAGUUGGACAGUUGCUGGCUUCUAUACCGAAGCAGAGCCUGGCAUCGGCUUCUUUUCGUUGUCGUGCCUACGCUCGAGCGCUACUUUACUACGAGUCUUACGUUCGCGAGAAGUCUGGAGCUCUUAAUCCGGCUGCUCUUGUGAGUGGCACAUUCAAAGACGAAGACGUCGGUUUCCUUUUGAAGAUUUACGGUGGUCUGGACGAGCCCGACGGGCUGUUGGGAAUAGCUCGCUUGCAAAAGCGUGCAAGUCUGGAGGAUCAAGUGCUUAUCAACAAGAUAUCUGGGAACUGGGCCGAGGCAUUGACGUUUUGCGAGCAAGCUUUGGAGCUGGAGCCAAAGAGCUUAUACUGGCAAUCCGGGAUCUUAGACUGCCUCGUGAACAUGGGACAUUUCCAGGCGAUGGUAACUCAUGUUGAUGGACUGCUGGCUCGCUUGCGAGAUUCAAGAAGAGAGUGGUACAUGCGUGGCGUUCAAGCUGCUUGGCGGCUCGGACAGUGGGACUUGAUCAAUGAGUACGUUCAUGGCUCUGAGCUAGAGGCAGGAAGUACUGAAAGUGAUUCGGCAUUCGAUCUUAGCUUGGCCAAGGUACUGCAAACACUUCGCUCCAAGGAUCAGGUGAAGUUCCAAGAGCAGCUUACGCAUGCAAGGCUUGCUUUGCUUGCACCGCUCGCGGCCGCCAGUAUGGAGUCGUACGUCCGGGCGUAUCCUGUGAUCGUAAAGCUACACAUGCUGCGGGAGCUCGAAGAUUUCUUCUCGUUGGCUGACAAAGGUGGCGAUAACAAAGACCAACUGUUUGAGAACUGGAACGGACGUUUGAAGAUGACGCUGCCUUCGCUCUCGACAAGGGAACCUAUACUGGCACUUCGGAGGCUGCUGUUCUCCGUCUGUGACUUGCAGUCCGAAAUGGGAGGCUGCUGGCUGCAGUAUGCAAAGCUUUGCAGGACUUCCGGCCAUUACGAGACUGCAAACAGGGCCAUACUUCAGGCACAAGCUGCUGGUGCUCCGAAUGCACACAGGGAAAGAGCCAAACUUUUCUGGGAUAUGAAGAAAACGCAUCGCGCCAUCGAUGAGCUACAACAAGUUUUGGUGAACGUACCUCUGAGUGUUCUUGGAACCGCCAGCGGUGCUGCUCUUUCAGGACUUGUCCUUAACACCUCGCAGACGGAGUCAGCAUUAGAGUUGACAGUCGAAGAACAGGUAUGCAACGAUGCAGCAAAAACUUUGCUUCUCUUGGGAAGAUGGGCCCAUUGUACAGGGCAGAAACAAAAGGAGGAUGUGAUCAGCAUCUACACCAGAGUGAAAGACUUGCAGCCAAUGUGGGAGAAGGGAUACUUCUACAUGGCAAGGUACUACGACGAUUUGCUAGUGGAUGCCAGGAAGAGGCAGGAGGAAAACAAAGAGCACAGAAGUAACACAACGAAGCGGGGCAGUAAUGCUGACGACAAACCAUGGUGGACUUAUCUCCCCGAUACGGUUCUUUGUUACGCGAAGACGCUGCACAGAAGUCACCACCAUUUGUUCCAAGCCUUGCCUCGCUUGCUGACGUUGUGGUUCGAGUUUGGAAGUGCUUAUCGCAGUGAAAGUCUUGGUUCAAACAAGAUCGUAAAGGCCGCGCAUGUCAGGGUGAUGGCUAUAAUGAGAGGUUGUUUGCAAGAACUUCCGUCAUAUCAGUGGCUUGCUUCUCUUCCCCAGCUAGUCUCAAGGAUCUGUCAUGACAAUGAGGAGGUGGUCAGGCUGGUGAAGCAAAUCAUCCAAAGUGUUUUGCAAGCUUAUCCUCAGCAAGCCUUGUGGACGAUGGCUGCUGUUUCGAAGUCCGAUAUUCCUGAGAGGCGCAGUGCAGCUACAGAGAUAAUUCAAGCGGCAAAGUUUUCAACUCGCAACGAUGACGAGAGAGCGACGUUUGUUCAAUUUGCUACUUUCAUCGAGCAUAUGGUCCGACUAUGCUUCGCCCCCGGUGCAAGUGAAAAGGCUCGGUCUCUAACCCUGUCCACAAGCGACUUCAGCUCUCUCAAGAGAAUGAUGCCCCUCCAGGUAAUUAUGCCUGUCCAGCGAGCUCUUGCUGUAACUUUGCCCGCUGAUGGCCUUUCAAACUCGAGCUACAAUCCUUUCCCGUCUGGCGACUGCUCUACGAUAUUUGCUAUUCGGGACGACGUCGAGAUACUGGUAUCGUUGCAGCGGCCCAAAAAGGUUGUGCUUGUUGCAAGCGACGGGACAGAACAUCCGUUUCUCUGCAAACCCAAGGAUGACUUGCGUAAAGACGCUCGAAUGAUGGAGUUUACAGGCAUGAUCAACCGUCUGCUUUCUAAAGACCCCAGCAGCAGGCGGCGGAAGCUUUACAUUCGGACGUUCGCAGUAAUACCACUGACAGAAGACUGUGGAAUGGUGGAAUGGGUGUCACAUACGAGAGGCCUACGACACAUUCUACAGGACUUAUACGUUUCGGCCGGCAUGUUUACCAAGGAGACCAACCCGACCAUCAAACGCAUUUACGAGGACAACAAAGAUAAGAAGAUCUCCGCCACCGAGCUAAUGCGUGACAAGAUACUACCGAUGUUUCCUCCAGUUUUUCACAAGUGGUUCCUCAACACGUUUCCGGAGCCAACGGCUUGGUUCCAAUCGAGGCUGGCUUAUGCUCACACUACAGCAGUGUGGUCAAUGGUGGGACAUAUCGUGGGGCUUGGGGAUAGACACGGUGAAAACAUUCUUUACGACUCUACGACGGGUGACUGCGUUCACGUGGAUUUUAGCUGCCUUUUCGACAAGGGGUUGCAGCUCGAGAAGCCAGAACUUGUUCCUUUCCGUCUCACACAGAACAUGGUCGACGGCCUCGGUAUAACAGGCUAUGAAGGUGUGUUUUUGCGAACUUGCGAGAUCACCUUGUCUGUUCUUAGAGCCAACCGAGAGACGCUCAUGAGCGUUCUAGAGACGUUUAUCCACGAUCCUCUAGUGGAGUGGACGAAGUCUCACAAGUCGAGUGCAACGGAAGUCCAAAAUCCUCAUGCUCAGCGAGCGCUUGCAAACAUCGAGGCUCGUUUGCGAGGAGUGGUCGUAGGUGUUGCUGCAGCUCCGUCUUUACCACUCUCGGUAGAAGGCCAAGCUCAUCGUUUGAUUCAGGAGGCCGUGUCUCACGAAAACUUGGGACAUAUGUAUGUCUGGUGGAUGCCGUGGUUUUAGUACGGCUUGAGCAAGCGGAUUUAUUUUAGAUAUAUAUGAAUUUGAGUUUCUUGAAGUUCGAUAAUCGUGACUUGGGCCACACUCCAAAAGCUUAAAACAAGUUUUGAGUGCGGCCUGUUAUGAAGUUCCAGCAUUAGCUCUUCACUCUAGAUGAUGGCGAUGGUGAUGCCAUUCUCUGAUGAUCCCCACUCCACUUGCGGAAAUUAAUCUAUCUACAACAACAUCGAUCGUCUAUAUAACUCAAGGCCGAGCAGAACCUUAGACAAUGCGAAACUCAGUGACAACGUCGACAUUACCUGGUCUGCAGAUCAUGUUGAUAGAGCAAAUGAAGGGACUGAGCUCCUACUCAAGCUUGACAAUU